CCAUAACUCCAGUUGAUCCUGCUGGAGGCUACUGCUAUUGGGGUUCGAUUAAGCCAUGCAUGUUGGGGUUUCUGGCAAUGAAACCCAGCAAACAGCUCAGUAACACAUGGACAAUCUACUCUUAAGAGGAGGAUAACCUCGGGAAACUGAGGGUAAUACUCCAUAGGUGAGAGACUCUGGAAUGACUCUCACUGAAAGGACAUUGACCUGUUGCCGGUCAAUGUUGCUUAAGAGAGAGUCUGUGGCGGAUUAGGUAGACGUUAGGGUAACGGCCUAACGUGCCAACGAUCCGUACCGGCUAUGGGAGUAGGAGCCGGGAGAUGGAUACUGAGACAAAGAUCCAGGCCCUACGGGGCGCAGCAGGCGCGAAACCUCCACAAUGCGCGAAAGCGUGAUGGGGGAACCCCAAGUGUCCCUGUACAACAGGGACUUUUAUAGAGUGUAAAAAGCUCUAUGAAUAAGGGCUGGGUAAGACCGGUGCCAGCCUCCGCGGUAACACCGGCAGCUCAAGUGGUAGCCGCGUUUACUGGGCUUAAAGCGUCCGUAGUCGGUCUGGUAAGUUCUUUGUGAAAUCCUAUGACUCAAUCAUAGGGCUUGCAGAGAAUACUGCCAGACUUGGAACCGGAAGAGGUCAGGGGAAUUCUCGGGGUAGCGGUGAAAUGCUAUAAUCCCGGGAAGACCACCGAUAGCGAAGGCACCUGACUGGGACGGGUUCGACGAUGAGGGACGAAAGCUAGGGGAGCAAACCGGAUUAGAUACCCGGGUAGUCCUAGCCGUAAACGAUGUGGGCUAAGUGUUUCUUGAACUUCGUGUUCAAGAAGUGUUGAAGGGAAACCGUUAAGCCCACCGCCUGGGGAGUACGGUCGCAAGGCUGAAACCCGCCCUUUUCUUUCACAAAAAAAGCGCAAAGAAUGAAGAUUCGAGAAAAGGUCGGGCAGCAAACUUAAAGGAAUUGGCGGGGGAGCACCACAAGGGGUGGAGUCUGCGGUUUAAUUGGAUACAACGCCGGGAAACUUACCAGGGGCGACGGCAGAAUGACGGCCAGACUGAUGAUCUUGCCAGACGAGCCGAGAGGUAGUGCAUGGCCGUCGUCAGCUCGUACCGUGAGACGUGCGGUUAAGUCCGUUAACGAGCGAGACCCGUGCCUUUAUUUGCCACCUACUUUGAUGAAAGUAGAGCACUAUAAAGGGACCGCUGGCGGUGAGCCAGAGGAAGGUGCGGUCGACGAUAGGUCUGUAUGCUCCGAAUCUCCUGGGCUACACGUGGACUACAAUGGCACAAACAAUGGGUUGCGACUCCGAAAGGAGAGAGCUAAUCCCCUAAAUUGUGCCUCAGUUCGGAUUGAGGGUUGAAACCCACCCUCAUGAAGGUGAAAUCCCUAGUAAUCGCUGGUAACCAUCCAGCGGUGAAUAUGUCCCCGCUCCUUGCACACACCGCCCGUCAAACCAACCGAGUAGAUCUAUAAUGAGGCUUUCCCAUCCGAGAGAGUCGAAUUAUAGAUCUGCAAGGGGGGUUAAGUCGUAACAAGGUAGCCGUAGGGGGAUCUGCGGCUGGAUCACCUCCA
rnacentral:rRNA from 1 species